rnacentral:lncRNA from 1 species
CAAAUCCAUGCUACACCACUGCUGUCCAAGUCACUCCUGUGAUGGUUCACAUCUCAGCACUGGGGUGUUGAUUUCUCCUGGAGAGCCCUGCAGCAUGAACACCCCACUGCUAAAAAUAACCCGGUAAAUCAAAUUUAAAAAUCACAGCAGCUCCGAUCAUUUCUGCAGUGGGAGCCAAUAAAGUCAGGCCUUUCCUUCUUAACCCGGAGCCACGCGCAGAUAUUGCACAUUGCCAUGUGCAUAACCUAUUUAAAGAAUUUAUAUGCGUCAUAAGGCAAAGGUGACUUUUCCCCCCCUCUCCCUCGCAGCCCACCAUGCUGCAAGAUGAUACCAGGGAAAAGCACCUGUGCUUGGAACCUCUGCACGCAGAAAUAUUGCAAGUGGGCCAGCAUUUUAUCUCCCGAAGAAUUACAGGCUUCGCAUUGUCACGGUAAGCACUGCAGAUCACUUAACUGCCCAAACCCGUUACUCUAAGCUGCCUAUAAAUAAAUGGAGAGAGAGAUGGAGAGAGAAAGGGAGAGAGAAUAGUUUUUUUUUAAAAGAGCUCUAUAAUUAAUUUAAUCAAGUUAUCUCGAGGUAUCUUUUCAAGAGACAAUCAAGACAAGAAACUAAAUGGAAACUUAGACAGUGAAGGCCUGGAAGUAUCAAAUUCAUCCUUUGGUAACUUACUGGAGGCAAAGGAAAGUAAUUAUUUACUGAUGAUUGGGUACAGGUGGAAGUGCCAUUAGCCACCGAGGCUGUACAGAGCUAAACCCUGAUGGGCACGUGGAUUUUGGGACAGAGUGCAUCAAACUGCCUGAGCAUCACCACCUCAAACACAAUCCACUUCCCAGGCAUGUCUGCACUGUCCCAGCCCUCUUGAUUUGGGGUCAGUCCUUUGAAAGCAGGACUGUGGGAGAGAGAUGUGGGGUUACACUGAGCAUCUUCUGCUGGGGACCAGAGCUGUUCCCACUCCCCCCUGCUUUGCUUCAGGGAGUGCCUUGGAACAUAUUUGAAAUCAAUAUCUUUCCACUUCAGCCUCAAUAUUCUAAUAAAGACGUGUUAUAGACAGUACAGAAAAGCCAAAGAAUUUAUCAGCAUUUGUCGAUAUUCCUAAUGAAGCAGAAGAUUCAACAUGCAAUGGAAUUAGCCUACAACGAACCCUUGCAUGGGGCCCAUCCUUCUGAGUCCAGAAAUCUCCUGCCUAUUCCAGUCCAAUACACUUUUGAGAAAUGAGGAGCCCUCCAAUCCAUUAUCAUUAUAAGCUAAAAGGCCAAAUGAGACAAAGUACUGUUGCUCUUCAUCUGAAUAAACAAAUCAUUUUUAGAUCA